CUAAGCCAUGCAAGUCCUGGGGUCGCAAGACACCGGCAAACUGCCUCAGUAACACGGUUGAUAAUCUGCCCUUAAGUCCUGGGAUWCCCUUGGGAAMCUGAGGUUAAGACCGGAUAGGARGCCAGUUCUGGAAGGAAAUGUCUUCUAAAGGCAACGCYUAAGGAUGAGUCAGCGGCCGAWUARGUUGUUGGUGGGGUAAAGUUUCUCGACGCAAUCGUCGGGGAUUACAUGCCCACMAAGCCCGCGAUCGGUAGGGGCCUUGAAAGAGGUUGCCCCGAGAAAGGGAACUGAGAUACAGUCCCUAGCCCCACGGGGUGCAGCAGGCGCGAGAACUCUACAAUGCACGAAAGUGUGAUAGGGGAACCCUGAGUGCUCAGUUCUACUGGGCUUUUGCCAAGAGUAAAAACCUUGGCGAAUAAGUGGUGGGUAAGACGGGUGCCAGCCGCCGCGGUAACACCCGCGCCACAAGUGGCAAUCGCUGUUAUUUGGCCUAAAGCGUCCGUAGCAUGCUUUGUAAAUCUCUUGUGAAAUUGUUGCGCUCAACGUAACAGCGCGCAAGAGACACUGCAGGGCUUGGGACCGGGAGGAGUCAGAGGUAUUUCGUGGGGAGCGGUAAAAUGCUAUAAUCCACGAAGGACCACCUAUGGCGAAGGCAUCUGACCAGAACGGAUCCGACUGUGAGGGACGAAAGCUAGGGGAGCGAACCGGAUUAGAUAUCGGGGUUUCCGUCGAGAAAUCAUUCAUCUGUUCGUUACAAAAUUACUGGAUGAGUGAGGAAAUAUCGGAGACAUUAACCCGACUAAUUACCCGAGUAGUCCUAGCCGUAAACGCUGCGAGCUAGGUGUUGCGCAAUCUUCGAGAUUGCGCAGUAUCGAAGCGAAGGCGAUAAGCUCGCCGCCUGGGAAGUACGGUCGCAAGGCUGAAACUUAAAGGRAUUGGCGGGGGAGCMCUACCAGGGGUGCGGGCGUGCGGUUUAAUCUAACUCCUACCUCAGAGRAUCCUCACCAGAAGCCGACGGCAGGAUGAAAGUCAGAUUAAAGGUUUUACUUGACGAGCCGGGAGGUGGUGCAUGGCCA
rnacentral:rRNA from 1 species